rnacentral:rRNA from 1 species
AUACGGAGGGUGCAAGCGUUAUCCGGAUUUAUUGGGUUUAAAGGGUUCGUAGGCGGAUCAAUAAGUCAGUGGUGAAAGCCUGUGGCUCAACCAUAGAACUGCCAUUGAUACUGUUGAUCUUGAGUACACUUGAAGUGGGCGGAAUGCGUCAUGUAGCGGUGAAAUGCAUAGAUAUGACGCAGAACACCGAUUGCGAAGGCAGCUCACUAAAUUGUAACUGACGCUGAGGAACGAAAGCGUGGGGAGCGAACAGGAUUAGAAACCCUAGUAGUCC